rfam:Bursaphelenchus xylophilus, Ka4C1 (inbred line), WGS project CADV01000000 data, contig: contig02684
AUCGGUUUAAUCUCCGGUACGACUUCUAUUGAAGUCAUUCGAGAUUAACAGAUUUUUGGGACCAGCGGAGUUGUGAAGGCUUGCCUUCCGCUCGGCACGGGUCGGCCCGGUCUUGCACUGCUUCCGGGAACGGCCCAGAUAUU